rnacentral:rRNA from 1 species
AGAGUUUGAUCCUGGCUCAGAACAAACGCUGGCGGCGUGCCUAACACAUGCAAGUCGUACGAGAAAUCCUGGGCAACUGGGAGAGUAAAGUGGCGCACGGGUGAGUAACGCGUGGGUAACCUGCCCUUGAAUUGGGGAUAACUUUCCGAAAGGGGAGUUAAUACCGAAUAACAUUCCGAUUUCUUCGGGAGUUGGAAUCAAAGGUGGCCUCUGCAUGCAAGCUACUGUUUAAGGAUGGGCCCGCGUACCAUUAGCUUGUUGGUGGGGUAAUGGCCUACCAAGGCAACGAUGGUUAGCUGGUCUGAGAGGAUGGCCAGCCACACUGGAACUGAGACACGGUCCAGACUCCUACGGGAGGCAGCAGUGGGGAAUCUUGCGCAAUGGGGGAAACCCUGACGCAGCAACGCCGCGUGGGUGAUGAAGGCCUUCGGGUCGUAAAGCCCUGUCAGGUGGGAAGAACCGCAUCGAUGUAAACAGCAUCGGUGCCUGACGGUACCACCGGAGGAAGCACCGGCUAACUCCGUGCCAGCAGCCGCGGUAAUACGGAGGGUGCAAGCGUUGUUCGGAAUUACUGGGCGUAAAGCGCGUGUAGGCGGUCGAGCAAGUCAGAUGUGAAAGCCUUUCGCUUAACGGAAGAAGUGCAUUUGAAACUACUCGGCUGGAGUUCGGGAGAGGAGAGUGGAAUUCCUGGUGUAGAGGUGAAAUUCGUAGAUAUCAGGAGGAACACCGGUGGCGAAGGCGGCUCUCUGGCCCGAUACUGACGCUGAGACGCGAAAGCGUGGGGAGCAAACAGGAUUAGA